rnacentral:lncRNA from 1 species
CUAUCCAGUUUUUCUUAUAACAAUAUAAAAUAUAUCAUUUAUAAUGAUUAUAGUUGUAUUUUAUAUGAUUUCAUAGUAUUUCAUUAAAGUUUUAUGUCUAAACUCACAAAAUUAUGGUUUUAUUUUGAAAUCCUGAAUUGACAUUUUUUUUAGAAAAUAUAUUAUUUUAAAUUAGAAAAAUAUUUUUAAUUCUUUCCUCUAAUAUAUGCAAAAACCUGUAGAAUCAAAUCAUGAAGAAAAUGACUUUGAAUGCGAUUUCUUUGACUAUUUUUUUAGUUACUCUUUUC